AAUUCUCAAUCGCAAUCCUCUGACAACUGUUGAAGAUCCGUAUCUCUUUAAAUUGCCAGCAUUAAAAUAUCUAGACAUGGGAAAAACGCAAGUUCCACUUACAACACUUAAGAACAUUCUCACGAUGACUGUUGAACUGGAAAAACUGAUCUUACCUAACCAUAUGGCCUGCUGCCUCUGCCAAUUUAAAAACAGCAUUGAGGCUGUCGGCAAGACAGUCAAGCUGCAUUGCAACAGUGCAUGUCUGACAAACACCAUACGUUGUUGUGA